AGAAGUAUCCACAUGAACAGAAUCAGCUCCCAGGAAAAGUUCUUAACAUGGGCUUGUAGCAAAGUUUCUCCUCGUCUAAAGGACAAGAGGGAAGUAUUUGGAGGCUGGGAUGUGCAUCGACAGAAAUGCAUAGUUAAACCCAAUGCAUAGGAAUUCAGAACACCUGGAGGCAUCUGGAAUCCCUUGCAUUUUUCUGUUUGAGCAGCUGUGGUACUGAUCAAAUAAUAAGCAAUUGCUACUGCUCCCAGUGUUUAUGGAACAGAAAGGAAGCCUUUUCGACAAAGCCCGACGUGCAUCCGUCACACUAAGAAGCUCAAAAUGGGACCUUUAUCAACUGAUGCAAGGAGAAAUAUUUAUACUCCAAUGAUGUGCCAAUGAUGCAGCAGAUGUGGGAUGUGCAGGUGAACAGCAACAAAAACACCUAAUACCAGCUGCUCGUGUAGGAGACACAAUGGCCAAUUUUGAUUGCUUAUGAGAAAAAGCGAUGAUCUGUGUCUCUCGAAGAGCGACGCUGCCUGCCUCCAGCUGCCUCCAAGUACAGCUUUAACCAAGUUUCUGGAACGAUGUGAUAGAUUGGAUCUGCAUAAUCCAAGGAGCGCAAAGGCGUCACCCAGCUACCCCACUAAUGGGCAAUAAAGCGAAAGCCCUAAC